rnacentral:rRNA from 1 species
UUAGGAAUAUUGCACAAUGGGCGAAAGCCUGAUGCAGCGACGCCGCGUGGAGGACGAAGGCCUUCGGGUUGUAAACUCCUUUUGACGGGGAAAAAAUAAAUGAUGGUACUCGUCGAAUAAGCACCGGCUAACCCUGUGCCAGCAGCCGCGGUAAUACAGGGGGUGCAAGCGUUAUUCGGAAUUAUUGGGCGUAAAGCGCGCGUAGGUGGUUUACUAAGUCCGGUGUGAAAGCCCUCGACUCAAUCGAGGAAGUGCAUUGGAUACUGGUAGACUAGAGUAUAGGAGGGGUGAGCGGAAUUCCUGGUGUAGAGGUGAAAUUCGUAGAUAUCAGGAGGAACAACAGUGGCGAAAGCGGCUCACUAGACUAUAACUGACACUCUGGCGCGAAAGCGUGGGUAGCAAACAGGAUUAGAUACCCAUGUAGUCCCUGAGCGGGCUGGCAAGGCGCAU